GGGGUCGUAUUGGCUUCGACAAAAUUAACUGAACUAGAAUAGCAAGUCGAUUUAUUCACGUCACGAAUUAAAUUAAAUAUAGCUGGAAACGACUAUAAUUAUUCUACUGGAUACGCUUUCGCGUAAAUUAAUAUAAUACAGUAGGUUCUAUUCUUUCUUUGCCUGUGAGAGAGAUUUAGGACAAAUAAAGCAGACUAUAUUAUAUUUCUCUCCUAAGAAAUAUAAUGAACAUUCUAGGAUAGUAAAUAUUUUUGCUUGUUAAUUCGCUUAUAUAUUUAUGAAGUGUUGAGUAAUUAACUAAACUUGUAGAAGUUUUAGGGAUGUUAUUUUUGGACGGGAGUUCGAAUCUCCCCGACUCCACCA
rnacentral:tmRNA from 1 species